AUCACUUUGAGACCACUGAAUCCUAAAGUUGCCUCACUCUGCAGGUAAAUGAUUUUGAAAUUCUUUUCAUUUUUUUAAAUCCUGCUUCUUCUUUUUAUGCUUUUCUUGCUUUUCUCACUCCAGGGGAGACCCUUUUCUAACCAAAUUAGUGUCCUUUCCCUAGGAAUGCUGAAAAUGUGCAUUAGACAUGCCUGACAGAUUUACACAUUUGCUGUUGGAAUAUCACUUCACCUUGCAACAUCCUGAUAGGGGGACAAGAGAGGAAGUCAGAUCACUGUAAUCAUGCAAAGUAGGCCUGAAACUGAGGAAGGGCUAAA